UGGGGCAGAAGAGUUGCACUGUGAGUAACCAGUGCUGGCACUUUGACCAUAGGAAGAAGCCUUGGAGGAGCAAAGAUUUCCUGCAUUGGUGUAAAUUUGUUCCAGGGGGUCCUCUCUGGACCAAAAGUCGGUUUCUGCAGGAAACGUGACUACCAUCAAAAGGAAAAACACCCUCAGACACCAGCUCCGCUAAGCAGCUGCAGUAUGGAGCUUGGGAAAAACAUUUUGUGAGGAAGAUCACUGAGCUGGAAACAAACUCCACAUGUGCAGAUGUGCAUGGAUACAUUCUCUUUAAAAAGUCUUCAAGAUGGUUCCUCUGCCCUGGUAAAUCUCUCCUCCCUGAUGGAGUUACCUCCUUCUUAAAGGUAUGGUGGAGUGAAUAGAACAUGGCAGAUGGGAGGGACAAAUAAAAUAUUCCUUUUAUUUUGUUUACCUCCACCACAGCUAUUUGGUUUCUUCUUUCAUCACCUGCAUCCUCAAAAAAUCUUAAUUUAAAAGAAGAAACAAGGUGCAACUUUGAAUGCUUGCUCCAAGAAUGCCAUUUCUGUUAUUACUGAUCUGCCUAUGAUUAAACUGUAUCUUGCAUGGAUGCAUGUUUCAUCAUUUUAGAUUAUACACGUCCCAAAGUGCCUGAAUGCUGGUGUGGAUUGGUCCCUCUUGGAUGCAGCACACAAAGAGGCUGGAGAGUGAGUGAGUGAGUACUGGGAAUUGUUGCAGCACUGCCAUCACUUGAAAACCUUCUCCUGCCUGGGGUCACAUGAAACCCUCUGUGCUGCCAGCAGCCCGGGUCACCUAAAACAGGUUUGUCUUUCCAUAGCUGUUGUGUUUCUUUAAUAAAAGAUUUUUUAAAAUCAAA